rnacentral:rRNA from 1 species
GGAUUAGAUACCCUGGUAGUCCUACCCGUAAACGUUGUAUACUAGGUGGUGGCAGUAUUGAUCCUGUCACUGCCGGAGCUAACGCAUUAAGUAUACCGCCUGGGGAGUAUGCCGGCAACGGUGAAACUCAAAGGAAUUGACGGGGGCCCGCACAAGCAGUGGAGCAUGUUGUUUAAUUCGAUGAUACGCGAGGAACCUUACCAGGUCUUGACAUAUACCGGGCUAUGGUGGAGACAUCAUAUUUCUUCGGAACUGGUAUACAGGUGCUGCAUGGUUGUCGUCAGCUCGUGCCG